UCCUGCCCGGUGCUGGAAGGUUAAGGGGACCUGUUAGCUUCGGCGAAGCGGAGAACUUAAGCCCCAGUAAACGGCGGUGGUAACUAUAACCAUCCUAAGGUAGCGAAAUUCCUUGUCGGGUAAGUUCCGACCUGCACGAAUGGAGUAACGACUUCCCCGCUGUCUCAACCGUGAACUCGGCGAAAUUGCAUUACGAGUAAAGAUGCUCGUUACGCGCAGAAGGACGGAAAGACCCCGUGACCUUUACUAUAGUUUGGUAUUGGUGUUCGGUGUGGCUUGUGUAGGAUAGGUGGGAGACUGUGAAGCGGGCACGCCAGUGUUCGUGGAGUCAUCGUUGAAAUACCACUCUGGUCACUCUGGAUAUCUAACUUCGGCCCGUGAUCCGGGUCAGGGACAGUGCCUGAUGGGUAGUUUAACUGGGGCGGUUGCCUCCCAAAAUGUAACGGAGGCGCCCAAAGGUUCCCUCAGCCUGGUUGGCAAUCAGGUGUCGAGUGCAAGUGCACAAGGGAGCUUGACUGUGAGAGUGGCAGCUCGAGCAGGGACGAAAGUCGGGACUAGUGAUCCGGCGGCUCGUUGUGGAACGGCCGUCGCUCAACGGAUAAAAGGUACCUCGGGGAUAACAGGCUGAUCUUGCCCAAGAGUCCAUAUCGACGGCAUGGUUUGGCACCUCGAUGUCGGCUCGUCGCAUCCUG
rnacentral:rRNA from 1 species